rnacentral:rRNA from 1 species
GAUGAACGCUGGCGGCGUGCCUAAUACAUGCAAGUCGAGCGAACAGACGAGGAGCUUGCUCCUCUGACGUUAGCGGCGGACGGGUGAGUAACACGUGGAUAACCUACCUAUAAGACUGGGAUAACUUCGGGAAACCGGAGCUAAUACCGGAUAAUAUAUUGAACCGCAUGGUUCAAUAGUGAAAGACGGUUUUGCUGUCACUUAUAGAUGGAUCCGCGCCGCAUUAGCUAGUUGGUAAGGUAACGGCUUACCAAGGCACCGAUGCGUAGCCGACCUGAGAGGGUGAUCGGCCACACUGGACCUGAGACACGGCCCAGACUCCUACGGGAGGCAGCAGUAGGGAAUCUUCCGCAAUGGGCGAAAGCCUAACGGAGCAACGCCGCGUGAGUGAGGAAGGUCUUCGGAUCGUAAAACUCUGUUAUUAGGGAAGAACAAAGGUGUAAGUAACUAUGCACGUCUUGACGGUACCUAAGCAGAAAGCCACGGCUAACUACGU